GUGUGGAAAGGGUUUACUGGUCUUGGAUGGGCUCACGGCCUAUCAGCUUGUUGGUGAGGUAAUGGCUCACCAAGGCGACGACGGGUAGCCGGCCUGAGAGGGUGACCGGCCACACUGGGACUGAGACACGGCCCAGACUCCUACGGGAGGCAGCAGUGGGGAAUAUUGCACAAUGGGCGAAAGCCUGAUGCAGCGACGCCGCGUGAGGGAUGACGGCCUUCGGGUUGUAAACCUCUUUCAGCAGGGAAGAAGCCACAAGUGACGGUACCUGCAGAAGAAGCGCCGGCUAACUACGUGCCAGCAGCCGCGGUAAUACGUAGGGCGCAAGCGUUGUCCGGAAUUAUUGGGCGUAAAGAGCUCGUAGGCGGUUUGUCGCGUCUGCUGUGAAAGCCCGGGGCUUAACCCCGGGUGUGCAGUGGGUACGGGCAGACUAGAGUGCAGUAGGGGAGACUGGAAUUCCUGGUGUAGCGGUGGAAUGCGCAGAUAUCAGGAGGAACACCGAUGGCGAAGGCAGGUCUCUGGGCUGUUACUGACGCUGAGGAGCGAAAGCAUGGGGAGCGAACAGGAUUAGAUACCCUGGUAGUCCAUGCCGUAAACGUUGGGCACUAGGUG
rnacentral:rRNA from 1 species